rnacentral:lncRNA from 1 species
UCUGGUUGAAGACGUAAAACUUAGCACUUGUUGGGAGGCAACCCAAUGAUUUUAUAUUUUUUUUUACAUUACUGUAGCUGCAGGAAUUUAGAAUAAGAGCCUAUUAAUCAAUGAAGCUAUCUUCAACUUCUGAAGCAAAAUUAUCCCAGGUGCACUCUCUCCUUUUAUUUUCUUUGCUUUCCUACUCCAUUGAGGACAAUGUAGAUUAAGUUGGGGGGGGA